GAAUUGCUGGGUGCUAUGACAGGUUAUU
rnacentral:piRNA from 1 species